AACUUUCAAAUAUACACUCUCUUCAUUAUGCACAGUAUGUUGAUGUGAACUGAAUCUAAAUAAUUUGUCUUUCUGUCGAAAAUAUUCAUAGUAUGUCCUGCAUUACAGUUUCAAAACCCACAGCAGCACGUGGGCAAUUUUAUUUUCCCUCUCCCUAUAUGUAGUUUAAUAUAAUUCAACGAGUUCAAAGAGAAUGAUCAGAAUGAAGGUUUGUAUUAGAUCCGAUGUGCUUCCUCUUUCUAUGCAUUUUGGUUCAAAUUAGGGUUUUAGGUUGAAACCCGAAACGAAAAGAGAAUAAAGUUUUCAGGAUGUUCGGAUUUUGUGUUUCGAUGAGAGGAAAAAAUGAGAAAUUUGUUAAGAAAAGUUGUGGUCGGAUUUUACAUGUUUACCGUUUUCAAGGUACGGUGUUCAUCGAUCUUAACUUUAAAUUUGUUUCUCAAUUUUUUUGUAGUUUUGGAUUUGUAAAAACCCUCGAUUGAAUCGGGUGCUGGUAUGGUCCCUUACAGGAAAAAAAAGUUUCAUUUUUUUCCCCUUAAAAUUUUAGUUUUUGUUAUUUUCUUUUUUCUUCACAAAGGAACUUAGGUGGUAGCUGUAUUACUAAUUAGCUACAGAAUUUAUAUAUUCUUAUGAGUACGGUAUGGGUGCAGGUUUGCUAUGUUGCUUUUUGGGAUGAAAUUACUUUAAAUACAAAGGAAAAUUUGAUCGAUAUUAUUGGGUUGUACGCAGAAAUCUAAGUUUUACCUAUUUUGAUAAUGCUUGGUUUUUGUGUAUUGAGUUGGAUAGACAGUUCAUAGGUUUGGUUCCAUAUUUAUUCGGAGAAGAAAAACACAAAGAGGGCAACACAAUAACCCUAGGAUGAUUAUAUAUGGAAUGAAUUAAAUCUAUUAACGAAUUAUAUUUUGGGUGGUGUUAGGGAGAAACGCCUACACUCCAAAUAUUUAUGAAUUGGAUUCAUUAUAAAAUAGGUAAAUUGUAUGCAUUACUUCUUUUGGCACUAAAUCUUUUGUUAAAUUUUAUUUUGCUGACUUUUAGUUUUUGACUUUCCUUUGGCAGGACUUUUAAUUAAGCAUGCAUCUUUGGUGUAAUAUUAUCAUAUUCUUGAGGUGGUAACAAAUUAAUGAUGUCAACUCCUACAAGGAAGAGGCUGAUGAGAGACUUCGAGAGGCUGCAACAAGACCAGCCUGCGAGGAUUAGUGGGGCGCCUCAGGAUAACAAUAUAAUGUUGUCGGCGAGAUCUGCUAAAUUCUUCAAGAAGUCCGGUUUACAGAACUGAAGCUGUUUAAGCACAAGGUGUCCCAGUUUAUAGAUGAGGAUCUACGGUUGCAAUGCUUUUGAUGCAUGCAAUCAGGAGGAUGCUACUACUCUUAUGGAGCUUCUUUGGCAUGGUAAAAUGUGUCUUAUUCAUGCAGUUACGCCUGAAAUAGUGGUUCCCACUGCAACACGUGGGCUUAUUUUCUAGUUAUGUC